GCGCUAAAUAGCCAUUUUUUAAAAUUGUGUGUGUGUGUGUGUGUGUGUGUGUGUGUGUGUGUGUGUGUGGGUGGGGGUGGGGGGGGGGGGGGGGUGCUGGUGUAAUGUCGGAUCGUGUAGCCUCUGAAUAUUUCCCGGAAGUUUGCACUGAAUACUAACAGCGCAGUAGAGAUGCAGCAGAACAGACUGUUUGUGAUGCACUUUUAAAAGGUCCAGGAGUGCAUCAUGGUGCCGGGAGGCUCCUCUUUUUGACCACAGGACGAUGCACAAGGGUGGUGUAAAUAACAUCUGUUCUCAGCCUAGUCUUGGCCUUUUUGGUCCUGACAAACUGGUCUGCCUCAAAAUGUGCCUUCAGAGUGACUUGACUUUACUUCCCACACACAACUCCAUUUUGUCUACCCACAUACUAUACAUGCCCCAUACUGAUUAAAUGCACAGUAUUAAGGAACGCUUUCUACAUAGUUAAAACACAACUAAGAACACGAGACAAAGGCCUGAAGACUCACCAUGAGUCUCAGCUCCCUGGGUUUUGCAAGUCUUUUGCUGUUCCUUAUUUUUAAUAAACCUAACAUUAAACUUU